UACGUAGGGUCCGAGCGUUGUCCGGAAUUACUGGGCGUAAAGAGCUCGUAGGUGGUUUGUCGCGUUGUUCGUGAAAACUCACAGCUUAACUGUGGGCGUGCGGGCGAUACGGGCAGACUGGAGUACUGCAGGGGAGACUGGAAUUCCUGGUGUAGCGGUGAAAUGCGUAGAUAUCAGGAGGAAUACCGGUGGCGAAAGCGACUCUCUGGACGGCAACUGACGCUGAGGCACGAAAGCGUGGGGAGCAAACAGG
rnacentral:rRNA from 1 species